rnacentral:rRNA from 1 species
ACGCUCGACACCUACGGGAGCAGCAGUGGGGAAUAUUGCACAAUGGGGGAAACCCUGAUGCAGCGACGCCGCGUGAGCGAAGAAGUAUUUCGGUAUGUAAAGCUCUAUCAGCAGGGAAGAAGAAAGACGGUACCUGACUAAGAAGCCCCGGCUAACUACGUGCCGGCAGCCGCGGUAAUCUGAGCGGGCUGGCAAGGC